rnacentral:rRNA from 1 species
UAUGUGAUCGUCUCUCGCAUAUCAAUAAGCGGAGGAAAAGAAACUAACAAGGAUUCCCCUAGUAACGGCGAGUGAAGCGGGAAGAGCUCAAAUUUGAAAUCUUAAAGGGUUUCCCUUUACGAAUUGUAGUUUAAAGAAGUGUUUUCUGUUGAGGUUUUGGUAAAAGUUCUUUGGAAUAGGACAUCAUAGAGGGUGAGAAUCCCGUAUUUGACCUUUACUUUCAACUUUGUGAUACACUUUCAAAGAGUCGGAUUGUUUGGGAAUGCAGUCCAAAAUGGGUGGUAAAUUUCAUCUAAAGCUAAAUAUUGACGAGAGACCGAUAGCGAACAAGUACCGUGAGGGAAAGAUGAAAAGAACUUUGAAAAGAGAGUUAAACAGUACGUGAAAUUGUCAAAAGGGAAGCGUUUGACACCAGUGUUGUUUUUCUGAAAAUCAAUUAAAGAACUGUUUAUGCUAAGUUGUUUAGACUUUAUCAGCUAACUGUUUAGUUUUGAGCUUUUCUUUAAUGCACUUUUCAGUUAACAAGUCAACAUCAAUUUCUUUUGCUGUAAAAAAGCUUGAGGAAGGUGGCUUGAGAUUCGUCUUAAGUGUUUAUAGCCUCUUGCCUAUGCAGUCGGAGAGAUUGAGGUCUGCAGCGUAGAUCCUUCGGGGCUAAAUGCAUUUGUGCUAAGUUAUAGCAUUUUAUAGACAACUUGUUGACUAUGAUUUGUCUUGUAGCUUACUCGCUUAUGUUAUUUUACCUACGCUUAGGAUGUUGACACACGCGCGUGCUCG